rnacentral:rRNA from 1 species
AUUGAACGCUGGCGGCAGGCUUAACACAUGCAAGUCGAGCGGGGUGAUGGUGCUUGCACUAUCACUUAGCGGCGGACGGGUGAGUAAUGCUUAGGAAUCUGCCUAUUAGUGGGGGACAACAUCUCGAAAGGGAUGCUAAUACCGCAUACGUCCUACGGGAGAAAGCAGGGGAUCACUUGUGACCUUGCGCUAAUAGAUGAGCCUAAGUCGGAUUAGCUAGUUGGUGGGGUAAAGGCCUACCAAGGCGACGAUCUGUAGCGGGUCUGAGAGGAUGAUCCGCAACACUGGGACGGAGACACGGCCCGGACUCCUACGGGAGGCAGCGGUGGGGAAUAUUGGACAAUGGGUGGAACCCUGAUCCAGCCAUGCCGCGAGUGUGAAGAAGGCCUUAUGGUUGUAAAGCACUUUAAGCGAGGAGGAGGCUCUUUUGGUUAAUACCCAAGAUGAGUGGACGUUACUCGCAGAAUAAGCACCGGCUAACUCUGUGCCAGCCGCCGCCGUAA